rnacentral:sRNA from 1 species
GCUGGGUAUAGCAAUGUAUACCUAUAGUCCCAGCAACUCAGGAGGCUCAGGUAGGAGGACUGCUUGAGCCCAGGAAUUCAAGGCCAGCCUGGGCAACAUAACAAGAUCCCAUCAC